rnacentral:rRNA from 1 species
UACGUAGGGUGCAAGCGUUGUCCGGAAUUAUUGGGCGUAAAGAGCUUGUAGGCGGUUUGUCGCGUCUGCUGUGAAAUUUCGGGGCUCAACCCCGAACUUGCAGUGGGUACGGGCAGACUAGAGUGUGGUAGGGGAGAAUGGAAUUCCUGGUGUAGCGGUGGAAUGCGCAGAUAUCAGGAGGAACACCGGUGGUGUAGACGGCUUUCUGGACCGUAACUGACGCUGAGACACGAAAGCGUGGGUAGCAAACAGG